UAAUUAAGUUUGCUGCUGCUGCUGCUGCUGCUGCUGCAGAGGCAGCUGCUGCAGAGGCAGCUGCAGCAGCAGCAGCAGCAGCAGCUGCUGCUGCUGCUGCUGCUGCAGAGGCAGCUGUUGCAGAGGCAGCUAAUGCUGCAGCAGCAGCAGCUGCUGCUGCUGCUGCUGCAGAGGCAGCUGCUGCAGCAGCUGCUGCAGCAGCUGCUGCAGCAGCACCUGCAGCACCAGCGACUGCCGCUGCU
rnacentral:ncRNA from 1 species